rnacentral:rRNA from 1 species
UAGGGAAUCUUCGGCAAUGGACGGAAGUCUGACCGAGCAACGCCGCGUGAGUGAAGAAGGUUUUCGGGUCGUAAAGCUCUGUUGUAAGAGAAGAACGAGUGUGAGAGUGGAAAGUUCACACUGUGACGGUAUCUUACCAGAAAGGGACGGCUAACUACGUGCCAGCAGCCGCGGUAAUACGUAGGUCCCGAGCGUUGUCCGGAUUUAUUGGGCGUAAAGCGAGCGCAGGCGGUUAGAUAAGUCUGAAGUUAAAGGCUGUGGCUUAACCAUAGUAGGCUUUGGAAACUGUUUAACUUGAGUGCAAGAGGGGAGAGUGGAAUUCCAUGUGUAGCGGUGAAAUGCGUAGAUAUAUGGAGGAACACCGGUGGCGAAAGCGGCUCUCUGGCUUGUAACUGACGCUGAGGCUCGAAAGCGUGGGGAGCAAACAGGAUUAGAUACCCUGGUAGUCCACGCCGUAAACGAUGAGUGCUAGGUGUUAGACCCUUUCCGGGGUUUAGUGCCGCAGCUAACGCAUUAAGCACUCCGCCUGGGGAGUACGACCGCAAGGUU